AACACUGACCACACCUCACAGAGGUUAUAAGCUGAGGCACCAGAACUGAAGAAACCUCUUGGAUGACAGAUGGAUCGUUUUCUGAAAUGAGAAACCAAAGCAGCAGUCCACAAAGGAAAGGAAACGCCAGCGAGAAAACUGUCAAUCAACUUCAUCCACUGUGUCCAGAUGAGCUCUGCUGUCAUUUUAUUUCAGUUCAUUCUAUUGCAGUCGAGACAGCUUCAGUGGGAAAUUCAGGAUGAACAGGAAGAUUGUCAGUGACAGGGUCAACACAGACAAACAAAUAAUGACCAGAAAAGGAGAAAUUAUUUCAUGGGUUGAGGACUUCAAGUACCCGGCAUCGUGAAUCAGCUCUCCAAAGCAAGACAUCAAGGUCAGAACAGCAUUAGCAUGGAAAGUAUGUCACAAAUUAAAAAGCAUCUGGAAAACAAACAUUGAUGGAGACAGCAAAAUCUGUGUCUUCAUUGCAUCAGUAAAGUCAGUUCUACUGUAUGAAUGACACUUACAAAUGCUGAGGACAAAUCACUCGAUGGUACAUACACAAGAUUGUCAUGUAUGGCCCUGAACAUCUCCUGGAGAGACCACAUGACAAACAGCGAGCUGUAUGGAAGACUGCAAAAAUUCAAGAUGAGAAGGCUUCCAAACUGGUCUUAUGGGAGUCUACCAGUGGAAAAACUGACAGAGGAAGACGGCCUAUAAAUUACACAGACUGCCUACGUAAAGACACUGGUGUCCUGACGACAAAUGAGAUCAAGUCAUUAAUGACAGACCGCAUAGUCCGGGGAGGGAUUGUUAAUUCUGCUCGGACUAACGUCCAUCCAAACUGAAGUUAAUUUAGGAUUUUUUGUUGUCAGUACCAGCUAAUUAUUCCUGCUCUUUUACAGUUUCUAAAAACUUCUACAGUUUUUAAAACAACUGCAUUAACAUGGUGUGUUCUCUAAGCAAAGUAUUGUUUGGGUAUUUUGCUUCACUCAUUGUUUAUUUAGCAAGUCAGUGCUGUGAUAUUCUAUAUGCAAUACAAUUAAUUAACUAAAAUUUUGUGAGCAAAGAUUAUGUACAAGUUCCCUGAUUUUUUGGCGUAAAACUUUUAAAAACUUUUAUACACAUGUUGAC
ensembl:lncRNA